rnacentral:rRNA from 1 species
AAUGGGCGAAAGCCUGACGCAGCGACGCCGCGUGAGGGAUGAAGGGCUUCGGUUCGUAAACCUCUGUCAGAAGGGAAGAAGUGUGGCAGUGCUAAUCAGCUGUCAUUUGACGGUACCUUCAAAGGAAGCACCGGCUAACUCCGUGCCAGCAGCCGCGGUAAUACGGAGGGUGCAAGCGUUAAUCGGAAUCACUGGGCGUAAAGCGCAUGUAGGCUGUUUGAUAAGUCAGGGGUGAAAUCCCACGGCUCACCCGUGGAACUGCCUUUGAUACUGUCGGACUUGAGUCUGUGAGAGGAUAGUGGAAUUCCAGGUGUAGGGGUGAAAUCCGUAGAGAUCUGGAGGAACAUCAGUGGCGAAGGCGACUAUCUGGUGCAGUACUGACGCUGAGAUGCGAAAGCGUGGGGAUCAAA